rfam:Gossypium raimondii chromosome 8, whole genome shotgun sequence.
AGAUACAAUGAGGACACUUAUGAAGCAAUUCUUUGAAUUUUUCUCAUGCCUCGUAUAAGGACUUAUCAUCAAAUUGUUGGAAUGUAAUUAUCUUAUUUAGUAACUU